GCUACCUGCAGUCAACAGACUUCGGGUCUAGUGGCGCACGGGUGCGUAACGCGUGGGAAUCUGCCCUUAGGUUCGGGAUACUCAGGGAAACUUGAGCUAAUACCGGAUGAUGUCUUCGGACCAAAGAUUUAUCGCCUAAGGAUGAGCCCGCGUAGGAUUAGCUUGUUGGUGAGGUAAAAGCUCACCAAGGCGACGAUCCUUAGCUGGUCUGAGAGGAUGAUCAGCCACACUGGGACUGAGACACGGCCCAGACUCCUACGGGAGGCAGCAGUGGGGAAUAUUGGACAAUGGGCGAAAGCCUGAUCCAGCAAUGCCGCGUGAGUGAUGAAGGCCUUAGGGUUGUAAAGCUCUUUUACCCGGGAUGAUAAUGACAGUACCGGGAGAAUAAGCCCCGGCUAACUCCGUGCCAGCAGCCGCGGUAAUACGGAGGGGGCUAGCGUUGUUCGGAAUUACUGGGCGUAAAGCGCGCGUAGGCGGCUUCGCAAGUCAGAGGUGAAAGCCCGGGGCUCAACCCCGGAAUUGCCUUUGAGACUGCGUCGCUAGAAUCCGGGAGAGGUGAGUGGAAUUCCGAGUGUAAAGGUGAAAUUCCUAGAUAU
rnacentral:rRNA from 1 species